UGUUUCGGCUAGGGGGCCAUCCCGGCUUACCAACCCGAUGCAAACUGCGAAUACCGGAGAAUGUUAUCACGGGAGACACACGGCGGGUGCUAACGUCCGUCGUGAAGAGGGAAACAACCCAGACCGCCAGCUAAGGUCCCAAAGUCAUGGUUAAGUGGGAAACGAUGUGGGAAGGCUCAGACAGCCAGGAUGUUGGCUUAGAAGCAGCCAUCAUUUAAAGAAAGCGUAAUAGCUCACUGGUCGAGUCGGCCUGCGCGGAAGAUGUAACGGGGCUAAACCAUGCACCGAAGCUGCGGCAGCGAACGUAUCACUUAAAGCGAUUCAGCGUCUUACGAUUGACGGAGCGAAGCGACGUCAAAGCGUAUACAAAGUCGAGUCGGUUUAAGGAUACGUUCGUUGGGUAG
rnacentral:rRNA from 1 species